rnacentral:lncRNA from 1 species
AAUGUCCAAGACAUACCAAGUGACAGCGAGAUAACAUCAUCAGAACAACGCGUCGACAGCACAACACAUGCCACUUCACACAAGAAACCAAACCCACCAACUCCAACGCCCGUCAUUGCCAAGUCACUUUCAGGAUCAACACGAAGAUUGCGUAAAUCAACAAUUAAAUCAAAUUCUGAUUUCGUCUAUAAUUUAGGGGCUACAAAGAAGAAACCAAAGAAUGCGCAAGCAAAGAAUUUAAUAUCCAAUGAUUUAACUUCGAUGGCAGAGUUCAAGUGCACCGCAGAAGCUGAGGAAACCAUUAAAAGUAUAAUGAGUGCACCAGAAUCACAACUAGUGGUGCAUAUCGAUGAUGUCUCAAUUUCCCAAAAAACAAUGCAAAUUCUGACUAAUCCAGUGACUGAAUCAAGUACGAGCUAUUUGGAUGAUCACAUAAUCGAUGCAUACGUUACUUGUCUACGUGAGAAAGAUAUGAAGGAAGGUACAGGGACUAGGGCAGAAGGUACGGUGUUCCUAGAGAAACCGUUAAUAACAAAGUUGCUACAAAGAGAUGGCGAACACUAUGUUUCCAAAGACAUCAUCGAUCAGGCAAUGGCUAAAGCAAUGGCAAAUAGAUAUCUAAAGCAUGAUAUGGAAGAUAUAAAAUAUUUUAGAAGGAAGUUAGCUGCAAUUUUGGGGGGCGCUCAGAAGAAGGAUAAAAAGAGAAACUAA